rnacentral:rRNA from 1 species
UACAGAGGUCCCAAGCGUUUGUUCGGAUUCACUGGGCGUAAAGGGUGCGUAGGCGGUCGGGUAAGUCUGAUGUAAAAUCUCACAGCUUAACUGUGAAACUGCAUUGGAUACUAUCCGGCUCGAGGAAUGGAGGGGAGACUGGAAUACUUGGUGUAGCAGUGAAAUGCGUAGAUAUCAAGUGGAACACCAGUGGCGAAGGCGAGUCUCUGGACAUUUCCUGACGCUGAGGCACGAAAGCCAGGGGAGCAAACGGG